rnacentral:rRNA from 1 species
AAGGAUCAUUCGUGAUUUGGCCGAGAGGCCUUAUUCAGAUUCUCAAACACCUGUGAACCGUUCGGCCUCCGGGCCGCUACAUUAACAAACAUCAGUGUAACGAACGUCUUUUUAUUGUAAACAUAAUAAAACUUUCAACAACGGAUCUCUUGGCUCUCGCAUCGAUGAAGAACGCAGCGAAUUGCGAUAAGUAAUGUGAAUUGCAGAAUUCAGUGAAUCAUCGAAUCUUUGAACGCACCUUGCGCCUUUUGGUAUUCCGAAAGGCAUGCCUGUUUGAGUGUCAUGAAAUCUCAAUCCCCUCGGGUUUUUAAUCGACCCGGGCUGGGACUUGGAUGUGGGCGUCCUGCCAGCCUCUCGGGGCCUGGCUCGCCUUAAUGGUGUCAGUGGGAUCUUCAUUUGCCCAGCAUCAGACGUAAUAAGUUUCGUCUGGUCGGGUAUGAGGGCCUGCUAAUAACCCCCCUUUUCCGCCUGUCCUCGGACGACGGUAAAGACUCUUUCGAUCUGACCUCAAAUCAGGUAGGGCUACCCGCUGAACUUAA